rnacentral:tRNA from 1 species
GUGGGUAUAGCUCAGUGGUAGAGCACACGAUUAGCAUGCACGAAGUCCUGGAUUCAAUCCCCAGUACCUCCA